AUCCUGGCUCAGAUUGAACGCUGGCGGCAGGCUUAACACAUGCAAGUCGAGCGGGGAAAGGUAGCUUGCUACCUGACCUAGCGGCGGACGGGUGAGUAAUGCUUAGGAAUCUGCCUAUUAGUGGGGGACAACAUUCCGAAAGGAAUGCUAAUACCGCAUACGCCCUACSGGGGAAAGCAGGGGAUCUUCGGACCUUGCGCUAAUAGACGAGCCUAAGUCAGAUUAGCUAGUUGGUGGGGUAAAGGCCUACCAAGGCGACGAUCUGUAGCGGGUCUGAGAGGAUGAUCCGCCACACUGGGACUGAGACACGGCCCAGACUCCUACGGGAGGCAGCAGUGGGGAAUAUUGGACAAUGGGCGAAAGCCUGAUCCAGCCAUGCCGCGUGUGUGAAGAAGGCCUUUUGGUUGUAAAGCACUUUAAGCGAGGAGGAGGCUACUGAGAUUAAUACUCUUGGAUAGUGGACGUUACUCGCAGAAUAAGCACCGGCUAACUCUGUGCCAGCAGCCGCGGUAAUACAGAGGGUGCGAGCGUUAAUCGGAUUUACUGGGCGUAAAGCGUGCGUAGGCGGCUUUUUAAGUCGGAUGUGAAAUCCCUGAGCUUAACUUAGGAAUUGCAUUCGAUACUGGGAAGCUAGAGUGUGGGAGAGGAUGGUAGAAUUCCAGGUGUAGCGGUGAAAUGCGUAGAGAUCUGGAGGAAUACCGAUGGCGAAGGCAGCCAUCUGGCCUAAUACUGACGCUGAGGUACGAAAGCAUGGGGAGCAAACAGGAUUAGAUACCCUGGUAGUCCAUGCCGUAAACGAUGUCUACUAGCCGUUGGGGCCUUUGAGGCUUUAGUGGCGCAGCUAACGCGAUAAGUAGACCGCCUGGGGAGUACGGUCGCAAGACUAAAACUCAAAGGAAUUG
rnacentral:rRNA from 1 species